ensembl:lincRNA Lncpint long non-protein coding RNA, Trp53 induced transcript
GCAGCAGCCUGGCGUGACAAGUGGGCGACGCCAGGGACAGGGAGUGGGGGUCCUCCGCCCGCUCCGGGGACCCUGUCGCCCACCGUGGUGCGCUGAGCAACUUUUAGCCGGCAGCCCCGCACCUGUCUCAGAGUCCCCAUCGCUCCCCACCAACCAUCAUGGGAAAAUUCUAGAAGAAUACGCUCUCGGAAUCUACGUGCGCAUCAUUUUCCUCCUCACUCCAGAGGAAGGAACCAGAAAAGAGAGCAAAGCGGUGUAGUGUUCAGCCUCAAGGCAUCUCGUUGAUUCCUAGCGUUAGAAGAACUGAGCUAACAGGAGUCUGCCACCUCUCUGCCUUGCUGAUGCACCCAGGCAGGGCUCACUGGUUUGCAGGAGUACAUGACCACAGAUCAGAGCCAUUGCAGGCUGCACAGAUACCUGACUCUGGGCUCUCAGGAAGACUCAGGCAGAGAUGGGGAGUCGGCCUGCAAGCUGGGACGCUAGAGCUCACGUGCAGUUCUCCAUUUAGCUAGGAGG